UACAGAGGUCUCAAGCGUUGUUCGGAUUCAUUGGGCGUAAAGGGUGCGUAGGUGGCGCUGUAAGUCGGGUGUGAAAUUUCGGAGCUUAAUUCCGAAACUGCAUUCGAUACUGCGGUGCUUGAGGACUGGAGAGGAGACUGGAAUUUACGGUGUAGCGGUGAAAUGCGUAGAUAUCGUAAGGAAGACCAGUGGCGAAGGCGGGUCUCUGGACAGUUCCUGACGCUGAGGCACGAAGGCCAGGGGAGCAAACGGG
rnacentral:rRNA from 1 species